GAUGAACGCUGGCGGCGUGCCUAAUACAUGCAAGUAGAACGCUGAAGCUUGGUGCUUGCACCGAGCGGAUGAGUUGCGAACGGGUGAGUAACGCGUAGGUAACCUGCCUCUUAGCGGGGGAUAACUAUUGGAAACGAUAGCUAAUACCGCAUAAAAGUCGAUAUCGCAUGAUAUUGAUUUGAAAGGUGCAAAUGCAUCACUAAGAGAUGGACCUGCGUUGUAUUAGCUAGUUGGUGAGGUAACGGCUCACCAAGGCGACGAUACAUAGCCGACCUGAGAAGGUGAUCGGCCACACUGGGACUGAGACACGGCCCAGACUCCUACGGGAGGCAGCAGUAGGGAAUCUUCGGCAAUGGGGGCAACCCUGACCGAGCAACGCCGCGUGAGUGAAGAAGGUUUUCGGAUCGUAAAGCUCUGUUGUAAGAGAAGAACGAGUGUGAGAGUGGAAAGUUCACACUGUGACGGUAACUUGCCAGAAAGGGACGGCUAACUACGUG
rnacentral:rRNA from 1 species